rnacentral:pre_miRNA from 1 species
AGCUUUGAGAACUGAAUUCCAUGGGUCGUGUCAACGUCAGACGCGUGCAGUUCAGUUCUUCAGCU